rnacentral:rRNA from 1 species
AUAGCGUAUAUUAAAGUUGUUGCAGUUAAAAAGCUCGUAGUUGAACCUUGGGCCUGGCUGGCCGGUCCGCCUCACCGCGUGCACUGGUCCGGCCGGGCCUUUCCUUCUGAGGAGCCGCAUGCCCUUCACUGGGUGUGUCGGGGAAUCAGGACUUUUACUUUGAAAAAAUUAGAGUGUUCAAAGCAGGCCUAUGCUCGAAUACAUUAGCAUGGAAUAAUAGAAUAGGACUUUGGUUCUAUUUUGUUGGUUUCUAGGACCGAAGUAAUGAUUAAUAGGGAUAGUUGGGGGCAUUAGUAUUUAAUUGUCAGAGGUGAAAUUCUUGGAUUUAUUAAAGACUAACUUCUG